rnacentral:rRNA from 1 species
GGCUUAACACAUGCAAGUCGAGGGGCAGCACAAGGCAGCAAUGCUGAGGUGGCGACCGGCGCACGGGUGCGUAACGCGUAUCCAACCUUCCCGUUACUCUUGGAUAGCCUUCCGAGAGGGAGAUUAAUACAAGAUGGUGUUGAAAUUCCGCAUGUUAUUUCAACUAAAGAUUUAUCGGUAACGGAUGGGGAUGCGUGACAUUAGAUAGAUGGCGGGGUAACGGCCCACCAUGUCCACGAUGUCUAGGGGUUCUGAGAGGAAGGUCCCCCACACUGGAACUGAGACACGGUCCAGACUCCUACGGGAGGCAGCAGUGAGGAAUAUUGGUCAAUGGCCGGAAGGCUGAACCAGCCAAGUAGCGUGAAGGAUGAAGGUUCUAUGGAUUGUAAACUUCUUUUAUACGGGAAUAAAACCUCCCACGUGUGGGAGCUUGUAUGUACCGUAUGAAUAAGCAUCGGCUAACUCCGUG